rnacentral:sRNA from 1 species
ACUCAACGCUUAAUUUUUUAUAAAAGGUGAGUCGUGAUUGUAAAAGCAUGCUGUUUUAGACAGAUCCUUGAUCAGUUCGUUAGCUUUAAACUUGUUUUUUGGAGUUU